GGGAGCCGGAUGCUCAGAAAUGCGCACGUCCGGAUCUAAAUGAGAGGGUCGGAGGAUAAUACCUCCACUCGACUCAAC
rfam:Crocosphaera watsonii WH 8501 ctg361, whole genome shotgun sequence.